rnacentral:tRNA from 1 species
GGGCCCGUGGCCUAGUCUGGUGGGGCGUCCGGCUGAUAACCGGGAGGUCCUGGGUUCAAAUCCCAGCGGGCCCA